rnacentral:rRNA from 1 species
GAUGAACGCUGGCGGCGUGCCUAAUACAUGCAAGUCGAGCGAACAGACGAGGAGCUUGCUCCUCUGACGUUAGCGGCGGACGGGUGAGUAACACGUGGAUAACCUACCUAUAAGACUGGGAUAACUUCGGGAAACCGGAGCUAAUACCGGAUAAUAUAUUGAACCGCAUGGUUCAAUAGUGAAAGACGGUUUUGCUGUCACUUAUAGAUGGAUCCGCGCCGCAUUAGCUAGUUGGUAAGGUAACGGCUUACCAAGGCGACGAUGCGUAGCCGACCUGAGAGGGUGAUAGGCCACACGGGAACGGAGACACGGUCCAGACUCCUACGGGAGGCAGCAGUAGGGAAUCUGCCGCAAUGGGCGAAAGCCUGACGGAGCAACGCCGCGUGAGUGAUGAAGGUCUUCGGAUCGUAAAACUCUGUUAUUAGGGAAGAACAAAUGUGUAAGUAACUAUGCACGUCUUGACGGUACCUAAUCAGAAAGCCACGGCUAACUACGUG